UGGGGAAUUUUGGACAAUGGGCGCAAGCCUGAUCCAGCCAUACCGCGUGAGUGACGAAGGCCUUAGGGUUGUAAAACUCUUUCGUCGGGGACGAUAAUGACGGUACCCGAAGAAGAAGCUCCGGCUAACUUCGUGCCAGCAGCCGCGGUAAUACGAAGGGAGCUAGCGUUGUUCGGAAUCACUGGGCGUAAAGCGUGCGCAGGCGGUUCUAUAAGACAGAUGUGAAAUCCCCGGGCUCAACCUGGGAAUGGCAUUUGUGACUGUAGAGCUAGAGUACGGUAGAGGGGGAUGGAAUUCCGCGUGUAGCAGUGAAAUGCGUAGAUAUGCGGAGGAACACCGAUGGCGAAGGCAAUCCCCUGGACCUGUACUGACACUGAGGUGCGAAAGCGUGGGGAGCAAACAGGAUUAGAUACCCCGGUAGUCCCUGAGCGGGCUGGCAAGGCGCAU
rnacentral:rRNA from 1 species